rnacentral:rRNA from 1 species
GAUCUGUUCGGCCGCGUCAACAACCUUUUCGACCGGGAGUACGUCGGGUCCGUUAUCGUUAAUGAGUCCAACGGGCGCUACUACGAGCCUGCUCCCGGACGCAACUACGGCAUCGGCCUGAACCUCGCCUGGCGCUUCGAAUAACACGCCCCUUCCCCGCCGGCGGUGAUUGGCGGGGAAGGCUUAACGAUGUGGCGUUUUCCCCACGGACGCGGGUUGAAGGCGGCCCCCUGGACAAAGACUGACGCUCAGGUGCGAAAGCGUGGGGAGCAAACAGGAUUAGAUACCCUGGUAGUCCACGCUGUAAACGAUGUCGAUUUGGAGGUUGUGCCCUUGAGGCGUGGCUUCCGGAGCUAACGCGUUAAAUCGACCGCCUGGGGAGUACGGCCGCAAGGUUAAAACUCAAAUGAAUUGACGGGGGCCCGCACAAGCGGUGGAGCAUGUGGUUUAAUUCGAUGCAACGCGAAGAACCUUACCUGGUCUUGACAUCCACAGAACUUAGCAGAGAUGCUUUGGUGCCUUCGGGAACUGUGAGACAGGUGCUGCAUGGCUGUCGUCAGCUCGUGUUGUGAAAUGUUGGGUUAAGUCCCGCAACGAGCGCAACCCUUAUCCUUUGUUGCCAGCGGUUAGGCCGGGAACUCAAAGGAGACUGCCAGUGAUAAACUGGAGGAAGGUGGGGAUGACGUCAAGUCAUCAUGGCCCUUACGACCAGGGCUACACACGUGCUAUAAUGGCAUAUACAAAGAGAAGCGACCUCGCGAGAGCAAGCGGACCUCAUAAAGUAUGUCGUAGUCCGGAUUGGAGUCUGCAACUCGACUCCAUGAAGUCGGAAUCGCUAGUAAUCGUAGAUCAGAAUGCUACGGUGAAUACGUUCCCGGGCCUUGUACACACCGCCCGUCACACCAUGGGAGUGGGUUGCAAAAGAAGUAGGUAGCUUAACCUUCGGGAGGGCGCUUACCACUUUGUGAUUCAUGACUGGGGUGAAGUCGUAACAAGGUAACCGUAGGGGAACCUGCGGUUG